rnacentral:rRNA from 1 species
CAUGGCUCAGGAUGAACGCUAGCUACAGGCUUAACACAUGCAAGUCAGGGGCAGCAUGUGGUUGCUUGCAACCAAUGAUGGCGACCGGCGGCACGGGUGAGUAACGCGUAUCCAACCUUCCCCUUAGUAGAGGAUAGCCCGGCGAAAGUCGGAUUAAUACUCUAUGUUCUUCAAUGCGGACAUCUAAGUUGAAGCAAAGAUUUAUCGCUAAGGGAUGGGGAUGCGUCUGAUUAGGUUGCAGGCGGGGUAACGGCCCACCUGGCCUACGAUCAGUAGGGGUUCCGAGAGGAAGGUCCCCCACACUGGUACUGAGACACGGACCAGACUCCUACGGGAGGCAGCAGUGAGGAAUAUUGGUCAAUGGGCGCGAGCCUGAACCAGCCAAGUAGCGUGCAGGACGAACUGCCCUAUGGGUUGUAAACUGCUUUUAUCAGGGAAUAAAGUGAGGCACGCGUGCCUUUUUGUAUGUACCUGAUGAAUAAGGACCGGCUAAUUCCGUGCCAGCAGCUGC